rnacentral:pre_miRNA from 1 species
AUACUACUCCCACCGAUCAUAAAUUGUUGUCGAAAUAUUACAUGUAUUUAUAUGCCUUUUAAAAGUAGAUACAUCCAUAUUUAGGCAAAUUUGAGACAAGAAUUUAGGAUCGGAGGGAGUACUUC